rnacentral:rRNA from 1 species
UACGUAGGGCGCAAGCGUUGUCCGGAAUUAUUGGGCGUAAAGAGCUCGUAGGCGGUCUGUCGCGUCGGCUGUGAAAACCCGCGGCUCAACCGCGGGCCUGCAGCCGAUACGGGCAGGCUAGAGUUCGGUAGGGGAGACUGGAAUUCCUGGUGUAGCGGUGAAAUGCGCAGAUAUCAGGAGGAACACCGGUGGCGAAGGCGGGUCUCUGGGCCGAUACUGACGCUGAGGAGCGAAAGCGUGGGGAGCGAACAGG